AGUUUUUGAAGCUUGCUUCAAAACGUUAGCGGCGGACGGGUGAGCCAACACGUGGGCAACCUACCUUAUCGACUGGGAUAACUCCGGGAAACCGGGGCUAAUACCGGAUAACAUCUAGCACCUCCGGGUGCCGGAUUAAAAAAGGGCUUCUUGCUCUCACAAUGAGAUGGGCCCGCGGCGCAUUAGCUAGUUGGAGAGGUAACGGCUCCCCAAGGCAACAAUGCGUACCCAACCUGAAAGGGUGAUCGGCCACACUGGGACUGAAACACGGCCCAAACUCCUACGGGAGGCAGCAGUAGGGAAUCUUCCGCAUUGGACAAAAGUCUGACGGACCACCGCCCCGUGAGUGAUGAAGGGUUUCGGCUCGUAAAGCUCUGUUAUGAGGAAAAAACACUUACCGUUCGAAUAGGGCGGUACCUUGACGGUACCUCAUCAAAAAGCCACGGCUAACUACUUGCCACCACCCGCGGUAAUACUUAGGUGGCAAGCGUUGUCCGGAAUUAUUGGGCGUAAAGCGCGCGCAGGCGGCCUUUUAAUUCUGAUGUGAAAUCUUGCGGCUCACCCCCAAGCGGCCAUUGAAAACUGGAAGGCUUGAGUACAAAAAAGGAAAGUGGAAUUCCACGUGUAGCGGUGAAAUGCGUAAAUAUGUGGAGGAACACCAUUGGCGAAGGCGACUCUCUGGUCUGUAACUGACGCUGAGGCGCGAAAGCGUGGGGAGCAAACAGGAUUAGAUACCCUGGUAGUCCACGCCGUAAACGAUGAGUGCUAGGGGUUAGGGGUUUCAAUGCCCGUUAGUGCCAAAGUUAACACAUUUAAACACUCCCCCUGGGGGAGUACGGCCCCCAAGGCUGAAACUCAAAGGAAUUUGAC
rnacentral:rRNA from 1 species